rnacentral:lncRNA from 1 species
GUGGAAUUGGCCCAGGAUGACAGCUGGAGAAUGGAGUCAGUUUUAUCCAAGUAUGAAGAUCAGAUUACUAUUUUCACUGACUACCUAGAAGAAUAUCCAGAUACAGAUGAGCUGGUAUGGAUCUUAGGGAAGCAGCAUCUCCUUAAAACAGAAGGAAAUUUUCACCAAUUGGUGGAACGGGCCCUUCAUCAGAUGCUGGUUGGGGAUGUAUGCUACGCUGUGGACAGAUGAUGCUGGCUCAAGCCCUUAUCUGUAGACACUUGGGAAGGGACUGGAGCUGGGAGAAACAAAAAGAACAACCCAAAGAAUACCAACGCAUCCUACAGUGCUUCUUAGAUAGAAAAGAUUGUUGCUACUCUAUCCAUCAAAUGGCACAAAUGGGUGUAGGAGAAGGGAAAUCAAUUGGAGAAUGGUUUGGAC